ensembl:lncRNA
CUUUAGCAAAAUGCAACUUACCUAAUUGUUUCUUUUAAUUAAGUUCAUUCAUGUUUUAUUUUGUCUGAAAUUAUGAUCACUACCCUUCCCUUUUUUGCUUCCGUUGAAGCAUAAUAGAGACUGCUCUAGACUCUUAUUUUAACUCUUUGUCUUCCAGUUUCAGGUUUGUUUCUUGUAAAGAACAUAUGCUGAAUUUGGGUUUCUAAUCCAUUAUGCUAUCUUUUUUCCAUUUUAUGAGUGAGUUCAUCCCAUUCACAUUAACACUUUUAUUAUUAUUUCUCUUAAUCCUAUUCUCUCACCAAAUCCAGGUCAGAAAAUUGUAAAUCUCGUAUCAGGAGUUUAACCAUGAAACUUUGUCCUAGAUCAUAGCGCAGAGGGAGCAUUGAGGGCCUGUAGGAUCUCCACCUGAACUGUCUCUAGAAUUCUGGAAUAGUACAAUGCUCACUAUGCUCAAGAAAGCAGCUGAAGUUUAAAAAAAAAAAAAAAAAAAAAAAAAAAACCUCAAUCCCUCUCCCCACCAAAAAAAGAAAAAGAAAAAAAGAAAGAAAAAUAUUUCUUCAUAAAGAACUAUUGUGGUACCAAGGAACAAUCAAGACACAAACUGAAAAGAAAAAAAACAUCUAUAAGAAAACCUUCAAAGAAAAACAUAGGAAGGUGGAGUCAAGAUGACAAAGGACAUGAAACCCAAUUGAACCCCCUAAACAUUCCCCUCCAAACAACUUUAAAAUAAAGCCUCCAAUCAAAUUCUAGAAUGGCAGAGCCAACAAAAGUUCAGAGUGAGACAAUUUUCUAGCCUAAGACCACUUAGGAUGUGGGCAGAAGAGGUCUGUGACAUGAUCAUAGAGGCCUGUCUGGAGCACAAGCACAGGGCAGCAGCACUGGCAGGAAACCUUAGAGGUAACAGCAGCAGCAACAACAGUUUGGGGAUCUUGGCCCAGAGAUGGUAAAGAGAUCAGAAAACUGGUCAGAAAGAUAUUACAGGUAACUCUUUGCUGGCACUGGGUGCAGCUGACAGCCAUUGGUAACCUUGUUCUCCACAAGCAGUUCUAGGUAGCAGGUCCCAGGCAGAGAGUAGCACUUGUGAUCAAUCACAAAGGAAUAGUGGUCUUAGUUAAAUUUGCAAGGUAAGAAGGGGCAGUAACACCUGUGAGGGCAGAACACAAACCCUGAUCAUGGCUCCGGGGCCAAGGAGAGAAUUAGUGUUUGUAGCUGCAGUGGAUCAGGAUCUUUAUUCUGGAUAAAGACCACAGCACAGACUAGGAGAACAGUAGCCACACUUCUCCUUGCAUUACACAACCUUGUAAGCACCAAAAACUUAAGAUCCCCAGAACUAACUCUGGAAAUGGCAGCAAUGAAAAAAUGUCUUCUCACCCGCAGAUCAGCAAAACCUAACUUUAACAUAACAUUCAGAGUCAAGAAAUAAAUUGGGAAAAUAAGCAAAUAACAAAAAAGGAAAAAAAAAAGAAUUUGAACAUUAAAUUUGAACAUUAAAAAACAACUCAGAAGGAAGGAAAACCAAAACUACUACAAAGCAAAACCUCAAAAACAAAACCAAAAAAAAAAAAAAAAAAACUGGAUCUAAUAAGAAUGCCCAGAAGAGUUCAAGAAAGAGAUAAGAAUGGUAGAGGAAACAUUGGGAAAACAAAUGAGAGUAAUGCAAGAAAAUUAUGAAAAGGGAAUUAACACCUUGGUAAAAGAAACAUACAAAAAUUCUGAAGAGGAUAACCUUUAAAUACAGAAUUGACCCAAUGGUUAAAAAAAAAAAAAAAAAAAGGCACAAAAAUUCACUGAAGAAAACUCCUUAAAAAUAAUAGUUCAGUCCAUCAGUUGGAGAAUGGCUGAAUAAAUUGUGGUAUAUGAAAAUUAUGGAAUAUUACUGUUCUGUAAGAAAUGACCAACAGGAUGAUUUCAGAAAGGCCUGGAGAGACUUACACGAACUGAUGCUGAGUGAAAUGAGCAGGACCAGGAGAUCAUUAUAUACUUCAACAACAAUACUAGAUGAUGACCAGUUCUGAUGGAUCAGGUCAUCCUCAGCAACGAGAUCAACCAAAUCAUUUCUAAUGGAGCAGUAAUGAACUGAACUAGCUAUACCCAGAAAAAGAACUCUGGGAGAUGACUAAAAACCAUUACAUUGAAU